UACGUAGGGUGCAAGCGUUAAUCGGAAUUACUGGGCGUAAAGCGUGCGCAGGCGGUUAUGUAAGACAGAUGUGAAAUGCCCGGGCUUAACCUGGGAACUGCAUUUGUGACUGCAUGGCUAGAGUUGGCAGAGGGGGGUAGAACUCCACGUGUAGCAGUGAAAUGCGUAGAUAUGUGGAGGAACACCGAUGGCGAAGGCAGCCCCCUGGGUCAAGACUGACGCUGAGACGCGAAAGCGUGGGGAGCAAACAGG
rnacentral:rRNA from 1 species